GUUUUAAGAGUAAAUGAAUGAAAACUCGUUUGAAGGAAUUUCUUGGGUUUGUUUUUACUUAGAGUUUUGUAAGACUAUUCUGAAGAUAUUUUACCUAUAAAUUUCUGAUUACUUUUUUCGUGAUUUAAGAAAAAUAUUAACUGUGUGAUUAAAUUCAAGGAACUGGUUAAGUGAAAUUCUAACAGUCUUGUUUAUUUGUUUAAAUGUUCUUUUUAAUCUGUUGGAGAAGGACCUUUCACAUAGAAUCGGAAAUAGAUUUAAAGGUGAUUUUUUUUAACUAAUAUUUGAAUCAUUUUACUUUUUUGCACCUUGUUUGUAAUUUUCAAGAAUAAGUUUUUAAUACUUCAGUGCUCUUGGAAUUUCCAUUACUGAUUGCAAAAAAAAGGAAGGGAAACUGUUAAGACAUGCAGUACCAUGCUUUGUGUAUGCCUAACUCAGAAAAUACUUUUCAUUUGUUUUAAGUUUGAACUAGGUUUUAUUACUACUAUUUCACAAAAUAAUUAAGUUUUGAAAAGCUUUAAGUUAUUAACAGAAGGACAUUUAUGUAGGCAGUACAAACGCGGUAUUUAAACCUUAGUUUGUCUGAAUCAAAAGUUGAUGCUCUUGUGACAUUAGGCUUCCUUAACAAUUGACGAUAGAAUCUGGACUUAUAAGUUUGUUUUUAGUUUGACAGCUUAAUUUGAGAAAGGAGAAACAGUAGUUCUGUUUGGCUUUAAUAGAAAUUGUAAAUAACUAAAUGUUAAAUAGUGUUGGGUUUUAAUUUGUGUUUUGAUCAUUUUAGAACAAAGUUUAUUUUUCUUUGACACAUUUAAAAGUUUUAUGCCGCUGGUAUAGUUUCAUAUAUACAUUGUGGUAGGAAGCAUUUUAGAAAUUAAUCUAGAAUAGUAUCUUUGCUUUCUCAAUCAUGUACGGUUUCUUGAGGAUACUAUGAAAUUAAUAACUUUUUCUCCUUUGGCCACUAGGUUAAUAGGGAAGAAAAUUAUUUGAAGAAGGACAGUGAAGUUCUUUAAAGUUAUUUUCUGUGGUGUGUCCUAUAGACCUUUUUACAUAGUUACAGAAGCCCUAGGCCAGAUCAGUUCCAUGUUUCCAUUCCUUGGUCAGCUGCAUUGUACAGAAAAGCAUUCUUUGUGAUUGAAAUUAUGUGAAAUUGUGGCAUAAGUCUCAAAUGAAAAGAAUUACUUCCAAACUGCUCUCUAAAUGAGAAAUCCUGAAAGUCACUCCAGGUUUUCGAAGACACCUUAGUUAUUGACUCGAAAGGGUCUGCGGCCCCUAACCUCUCCCACCUUCCCCCAGUGAGUAGAGUGAUCCACUCUGGUAGCUUCAACUUUUGUAACUUUGUAGAUGUGUCCCAGGUACAUAGCUCAGCCCUGCUUCUCUGCUUAGUACUGGUCACACAUUUUUAUCUGCUGGUCGUCCUCAGAGUAGAGAUGCUCACAGUUAAGGAGAUGCUCAGAUGGAACCUGUCUGAAAAUAAAUUUAUUAACCCCGCCCCCUUACCCAAAGCAGGGCCCAUACCCAUCUCUUCCUGCUCAUUUUUCUCUCUAUGACUGUUCUCAUUAUUCAAGUCCCAGGUUUUUAACUUCAGGUUUACUUUAACUGUUUUCCUCUUUGUGCUCUCUGAACCUAACAAUCAGUUUCCAAACCUCAUCUUUUUCAUCAGAAUAUGUUCUAUUCUAAUUAUUUCUUGCUUGAAAAAAUUAAUUCACUUAUAUUAAUAUUUUAUUUACAACCCCUCAGUUGACCAGACCAUUAACAAUUUAUGAAUUACUGUUGUUUAGUAACAAAUUUUUGUUGUAUGAACAAAAUGCAAAUUGAUUGUUCUGUGACUACACAGCUGAAGAAAUAAAUCUAAGAGAAGAAAAAGAGUUAGAAGAAUGUCUCAUGUCUGUUUUAUUUGCCACUGGUGGACUUUUAUUAUAAAUUUUCUAGACAGAUCCCUCUGUCUUCCUGCCAUUUUUCUACUCCCCAACUUUUAGUUGCUGGAUUCCUCCAUUGCUUUUACAAGGAGGCCCAACUCUUGAAAAUGGUGUUCGUGCCCUUGUAUUCCAUUCUAACCUAAAUAGUUCUGACAUUUCCAAUAUAUACUGUUAUUUAAUCAUGCUGUGACUUCAAAGAGACCCGCAUGUUAAUCCCCUUGUAGCACCUUGAGUAAAUUAUUUCAUUGCAUAGUAACCUCUGUUUCCUCUAAAAUGUGGGAAUAUAAUAGAAGGUAUAUUCUCCAUUAACAUUCUGUAAGUGUGACUGUUGCCCGGCGGGUAAACACAAUACAUUUCACUUCUUUUUCUCUGCUCCUGACUUACCUGCUUUGAGAAUUGGUACUGCUCCCCAGUUUCUCCCCUUUUUUGAAAAAUGACAUUACUCAUCCUUCAAGAUUUAGCUCAGCUCAUUUGAUUAGUUUUCUUUCUCCUGAAAGCUGUUUUCUCUUUAUUCUGAACCCUGUAACAUGUCAUUAGUAUUAAAUAUAGUCUUGCAUAGUUAUUUGUUGACUUGGUUUUUUUCCUUAUAUUCUACUGGAAUUCCUUAGUGCAGAAAUAAUGCCAUCUUUAGCAUCUGUAUAAUAUAUGUGAUGAGUACAGGGGUUCAGUGAGUGAAUGAACAAAGGAGUCACGAAUUCACAGAAUUAAGGAAAAAAACAUUAUUAUGAAAAGUAGCAGCAUAUAAAGGCAGGGGUUAGAGGGAAAAUCUAGUAUGCCCCCAUUUUUCACUUCUAAAUAAUGUUAUAGAUUGUAAAGAUUAAGAUAGUUAAAUUCCGGGUGCUCUUUGAGGUGCAGGUGGUGAUAUUGGCUACAGUUCAAAUCACUUACACAUGCUAAGUAUUAAUAUGCAGUUUACAUACUUCUCCCUCAUACACAAUCAUAAUCAAUCAUAAUUUGGCUUCAGAAGUUUUGUUUGUGUGUAAAAACAAGGUGAGCUGCCAGUAUAUCUCACCAUGCUGGACUCAGUCUAUCAGUCGUCUCUGACUCUUUGCGACCCCAUGGACUGUAGCCUGCCAGGCUGCUCUGCCCAUGGAAUUCUCCAGGCAAGAAUACUGGAGUGGGUUGCCAUGCGCUUCUCCAGGGAAUCUUCCCCACCCAGGGGUCCAACCUGCGUCUCCUAUGUUGCAAGUGAAUUCUUUACUGCUGAUCCCCCGGGGAAGCCCCAUAUUUCGUCGUAAUUCAUGUAAAGUCAGUAUUGUUCUUAUUAACUAAAAAAUAAAUCAACCAAUAAGCUAUUAAUGUAGAAAUUAUGCAUUCCUAAUUCCGUUCUGUAGGUGAAUGAAUCCUGUUAUUGCACCAAUAAAAUGUAAAAAUUCCUACAGCAAGCAGAAACUUGAUAGUAGCUGUAACAUUUGUGGAGUUUUUCAGACUUUGCACACUGAAGCAAAUUUGUAGUACUUCUCUGUACAUCGAGGAAUCAUUCCUACAUAAAUGUAGAGGUAGGAGAGUCAUAUACAUAGAGCGUAGUCACAUAAGAGUAGUCAUAUACAUAGAGCCUUGCGUUUUAUAAGGAUUUUUUAAAAAAUUUUAAUGUUAUUUAUUUACUUUUUGGCUGCACUGUGUGGCAUACAGGAUCUUACUUCCUCAACCAAGGAUCGAAUCCAAGCCCCUUGCAGUGGAAGCAUGGGAUUUUAACAACUGGACCACUAGGGAAGUCCUGAGCAUUGAGUUUUAGUGUAAGAACACAGUACAUAAAAAUCUUGGAGACUACCGAGUAGAUUUUAAGGUUGAAAAGUAUGAUGGGAAAACUUGACUAGUGGUUCUGUGCUCUGACCUAAAAACUUAAUUGCCUGAAGCAGUAAUUUAUUGCAAGAGACUCAUAUAUAUAUCAAAGAAAAUAGGGGUUUCAUAAAACCACAUAGUUGUCAAAAAAAGAAUUUCAUAAAUUUUAUUUUGAAGGAUAGAGCUACAGUUUUCAUAUACCUUCUUUUAAGACACAUGUUCUACUGUGAACCAUGGAUGAAAACUUUUCUUGCUCGUUUUAUUUCAGAUGUUGUACAGUGUUUCUACUGACAGUGAGUGGAAAUAAUUUUUGUAAACUAUCUUCAUGUUCAUUCAUUUAUCAAAUAUAGUAAUACCAUAUUUCAUUGGUUUCACAACUCAUCAUUUUCCAUAUUUUAAAAUCUCUGAAAUCAGGCUGCAUUGUACAAUCGUGGCUUGUGAGACUGGUAGCAUUUUUCCUUUUUUAGUGAUCCAUGAAAUUAUGCAUCUUACAUUGAUUGUGAAUCAGUGAAGCAAGGAUAUAAUGCUAUAAGAAACACACUGAAAUCUAAACAUGAAGGCAUUGGUGGUGGAGGCUUUGCAUGGCCUCACUCAUUCUUUGUAUAUCUAGUGUGGGUCAGUAGCAGAAGAGCCGUGAUCAGUGAAGUCAUAUAGUUUCAGGCUCUUGGAGAAUUUCGAUCUAAAUGUAGGCUUUCUGAUAUGGUUCCUACACACAAUGGAAUAUUAUUUAGCCAUGAGACAGGAUAGGAUUUAGCCUAUCAUCUGUGACAACAGGGAUGGACCUUGAGCACCUUGUGCUAAGUGAAAUAAGUGUAGAUAAAGACAAGUACUGAACAUUAUCACUUAUACGUGGAAUCUAAAA